GGGGCAGGAGGUUCGACCCGAGCGAAGCGAGAGAACGUUGCGUCAGCAACGGCCCGCAGGGCGAGCCACGCAGUGGCGAGUCAUCCUCUAUCACCGACCA
rnacentral:sRNA from 1 species